rnacentral:rRNA from 1 species
GCCUCCCUCCGCCGCCAUCAGACUCCUACGGGACGGCAGCAGGUGGGGAAGUUAGUUGGACAAUGGGACGAAAGACCUGAUCCAGCAAUGCCGCGUGUGUGAAGAAGGUCGUUCGGAUUGUAAAGCACUUCGACGGGACGAUGAUGACGGUACCGUAGAAGAAGACCCGGCUAACUUCGUGCCAGCAGCCGCGGUAAUAC